UAGGGAAUUGUUCGCAAUGGGCGCAAGCCUGACGACGCAACGCCGCGUGGAGGAUGAAGGGCUUCGGCUCGUAAACUCCUUUCGACCGAGAUGAAUACCCGCAGGGACAAUACCCUUGCGGACUGACAGUAUCGAGGGAAGAAGACCCGGCUAACUCCGUGCCAGCAGCCGCGGUAAUACGGGGGGGGCAAGCGUUGUUCGGAAUUACUGGGCGUAAAGGGUUCGUAGGUGGUCAACUAAGUCAUGCGUGAAAUCCCUCAGCUUAACUGGGGAACUGCGUCUGAUACUGGUUGACUUGAGUGCAGGAGAGGGAUGCGGAAUUCCAGGUGUAGCGGUGAAAUGCGUAGAUAUCUGGAGGAACACCGGUGGCGAAGGCGGCAUCCUGGACCGGCAUUGACGCUGAGGCGCGAAAGCUAGGGGAGCAAA
rnacentral:rRNA from 1 species